UCGCACACCAUAGUGCAAAUUUGGAGACGCACCCCAAANGGUGCCGGGGCUU
rnacentral:tRNA from 1 species